GUCAGUGYUACCCGCUCUGACUAWCACUUGCURUUCCARCGGAGGGCCCCGGAAUGUUUACAGGAAGGGGCCUUGAGUGGCGGACGGGUGAGUAACACGUGGGUAAUCUGCCUUUCGGACCGGGAUAACAGGGUGAAAACGCUGCUAAUACCGGAUAAGCUCACACGGGCGGGAGCCCGAGGGAGAAAAGGAGAAAUCCGCCGGGAGAUGAGCCCGCGGCUGAUUAGCUAGUUGGUGGGGUAAAGGCCUACCAAGGCGACGAUCAGUAGCCGGCCUGAGAGGGUGAACGGCCACACUGGAACUGAGACACGGUCCAGACUCCUACGGGAGGCAGCAGUGGGGAAUUUUCCGCAAUGGGCGCAAGCCUGACGGAGCAAUGCCGCGUGAGUGACGAAGGCCUUCGGGUUGUAAAGCUCUGUCUUCAGGGACGAAGAAGUGACGGUACCUGAGGAGGAAGCCACGGCUAACUACGUGCCAGCAGCCGCGGUAAUACGUAGGUGGCAAGCGUUGUCCGGAAUUACUGGGCGUAAAGGGCGUGUAGGUGGACGGACUUGUCGGAUGUGAAAUGCCCGGGCUUAACUUGGGAACUGCAUCCGAAACGGUCGGUCUUGAGUGCAGGAGAGGGCAGUGGAAUUCCCAGUGUAGCGGUGAAAUGCGUAGAGAUUGGGAGGAACACCAGUGGCGAAGGCGGCUGCCUGGACUGUAACUGACACUGAGGCGCGAAAGCGUGGGGAGCAAACAGGAUUAGAUACCCUGGUAGUCCACGCCGUAAACGAUGGGUACUAGGUGUAGGGGGUAUCGACCCCCCCUGUGCCGGAGUUAACACCAUAAACACCCCAUCAUGGUCAACGUCU
rnacentral:rRNA from 1 species